CCUACGGGAGACUGCAGUAGGGAAUAUUCGGCAAUGGGCGAAACCCUGACCGAGCAACGCCGCGUGAAGGAAGAAGUAUUUCGGGUUGUAAACUUCUUUUGACGGGGAAGAGCAGAAGACGGUACCGGACGAAUAAGCCACGGCUAACUACGUGCCAGCAGCCGCGGUGAGACGUAGGGGGCAAGCGUGGCCCGGAUGUACUGGGUGUAAAGGGCGUGUAGCCGGGCUGGCAAGUUAGUUGUGAAAACAGGGGGGUCAAACCCCGUAGUGCAUAUGAAACUGUUGGUCUUGAGUAGCGCAGAGGCAAGUGGAACUACAAGUGUAGCGGUGAAAUGCGUAGAUAUUAGGAGGAACACCAGUGGCGAAGGCGGCCUGCUGGACGAGAACUGACGGUGAGGCGCGAAAGCGUGGGGAGCAAACAGGAUUAGAUACCCAAGUAGUC
rnacentral:rRNA from 1 species